rnacentral:rRNA from 1 species
AUGAACGCUGGCGGCGUGCUUAACACAUGCAAGUCGAACGUGAUCCCGCAGCAAUGUGGGUGAAAGUGGCAAACGGGUGAGGAACACGUAGAUAACCUGCCUCGCAGUGGGGGAUAACCACGGGAAACUGUGGCUAAUACCGCAUGACUUGGUUGUUGCGGGAGCAACGGUCAAGAAAGCUUAAUGUGCUGCGAGAGGGGUCUGCGCCCGAUUAGCUAGUUGGCGAGGUAAAGGCUCACCAAGGCUGGUAUCGGUAGCUGGUCUGAGAGGACGAUCAGCCACACGGGAACUGCGACACGGUCCCGACUCCUACGGGGGGCAGCAGUGAGGAAUAUUGGGCAAUGGGCGCAAGCCUGACCCAGCAACGCCGCGUGAAGGACGACGGCCUUCGGGUUGUAAACUUCUUUUUGGGGGGAAAAGAGAGGAUGGUACCCCCAGAAUCAGUCACGGCUAACUACGUGCCAGCAGCCGCGGUAAUACGUAGGUGACGAGCGUUAUCCGGAAUUACUGGGCGUAAAGCGCACGCAAGCGGUUCGACAAGUCUGGCGUGAAAUCCUCUGGCUUAACCAGGGGCGGUCGCUGGAAACGGUCGGGCUUGAGGCGAUGAGAGGGGUGCAGAAUUCCCGGUGUAGUGGUGGAAUGCGUAGAGAUCGGGAGGAAUACCAGUGGCGAAAGCGGCACCCUGGCGUCGUGCUGACGCACAUGUGCGAAAGCGUGGGGAGCGAACGGGAUUAGAUACCCCGGUAGUCCACGCGGUAAACGAUGAACACUAGGUGUGGGUGGAGUCCAUCCGUCCGUGCCAAAGCCAACGCGUUAAGUGUUCCGCCUGGGAAGUACGGCCGCAAGGCUAAAACUCAAAGGAAUUGAUGGGGGUCCGAACAAGCGGUGGAACAUGUGGUUUAAUUCGACACUACGCGAGGAACCUUACCUGGGUUUGACAUGUACUUGACCGCUGUAGAAAUAUGGUUAUCUAGGUUUACCUAGACGAGUACACAGGUGCUGCAUGGCUGUCGUCAGCUCGUGUCGUGAGAUGUUUGGUUAAGUCCUCUAACGAGCGCAACCCUUGUGAUUAGUUGCUACUUAUCUUGAGAUAAAGCACUCUAAUCAGACUGCCUGGGAAACCAGGAGGAAGGUGGGGAUGACGUCAAGUCAUCAUGGCCCUUAUGUCCAGGGCUACACACGUGUUACAAUGGUUGGUACAGAGGGCUGCAAAGCUGCAAAGUGGAGCGAAUCCCUAAAGCCAAUCCAAGUUCGGAUUGAGGUCUGCAACUCGACCUCAUGAAGCUGAAAUCGCUAGUAAUCGCGCAUCAGAACGGCGCGGUGAAUACGUUCACGGGCCUUGUACACACCGCCCGUCACACCACGAAAGCUGUUUGUACCCAAAAUCACUUUAGCCAACCUGAAAAGGAGGCGGGUGCUUAAGGUAUGAGGAGUGAUUGGGGUG